AUUUCUGAAGCUAGGUCAGAAUAGUACAUAUAGCUUCCAUCCUGCCUACAGGGAACACUGACUCUCGGAGCGCUGAACCACUAAUGUUAGAAGCCACAACCCUAUGGAAGCCCAAGCCAAAUGAGGAGGAACUCUGGUUAACAACCCAAAGAAAGAAAAAUCAUCGAAGACAAAAUGCGAAUGCCCAAUAAACAUGAAGUAUGCUCAACCUGCUUAAUAAUUUCAGAAUAAAAAAUUAAAUUGGUUACCAUUUUCUGUCCAUCAUAUUGGCAAAAAUUUAAGAGAUAAUGUCUAGGGUAAAAGAGGAUAUGAAGAAAGGGAAACUCACUCAACGGGACUGU
rnacentral:lncRNA from 10 species